AUUAAUACGUUCGUGUCAGAAGAGAAUGUCGCAAAUUGAAUACUGUGUUUGGUGAUUUUACUGAAACGACAGUCAUGGAGUGACUGGAUGUUUCCUUUGAGGAGGAGAUAUUAACAACGGCACAACAUGAUACGAACAGCACAGUCGACAUGAUAGCAAUAUGAAUGUGAAGUGCGAUAAUACGAUGACGACAUAACUAUAACGCGAUAGUACAAUGGCGACAAUGCGAUAAUACGAUGACGACAGCGUGAAAAUACCAUGGCGAUAGUGCGAUAGUACGAUUGCAACAAUUUGACAAUGCGAUAGUGCGAUAGUACGAUGACGACAGUGCGACGAUACAAUGGCAACAGUGCGAUAGUACGAUGGCGACAAUCCGACAAUGCGAUAGUGCGAUAGUACGAUUGCGACAAUACGAUAAUACGAUGACGACAGUACGAUAACGCGAUAGGACGAUGGCGACAAUGCGAUAAUACGAUGGCAACAGUGCGUUAGAACGAUUGCGACAAUGCGAAAGUGCGAUAAUACGAUGACGACAGUGCGACAAUUCGAUGGCGACAGUGCGAUAGUACGAUGACGAAAAUCCGACAAUGCGAUAGUGCGAUAGUACGAUGGCGACAAUGCGAUAAUUCGAUGAUGACAGUGCGACAAUACGAUGGCGACAGUGAGAUAGUACGAUGGCGACAAUUUGAUAAUACGAUGACGACAGUACGAUACCGCGAUAGC